rnacentral:rRNA from 1 species
UACGUAGGGCGCAAGCGUUAUUCGGAAUUAUUGGGCGUAAAGGGCGCGUAGGCGGCUAGAUGUGUCAAAGGUGAAAUCCCUCGGCUCAACUGAGGAACUGCCUUUGAAACUGUCUGGCUUGAGGCCGGGAGAGGGUAGCGGAAUUCCCAGUGUAGCGGUGAAAUGCGUAGAUAUUGGGAGGAACACCAGUGGCGAAGGCGGCUACCUGGACCGGUUCUGACGCUGAGGCGCGAAAGCGUGGGUAGCAAACAGG